GUAGUGGUCGCAGUGCUUAGCGGAAGACAUCCUGUAGUAAGUGAUUGAAAAUAAAAAGCAAAACAAUGGAUUCGUGUCUUGGUGUUGAACAAGAUUUAGACAAAGCAACAACAAAAUUUACGGGUAUAAGCGAUCAUACAAAUAAAGUCCUGCAGGAUUAGAUAACUCAAGUGGAGAGUUUAAAACAGGAGAUAUCUCUACAGCCAGAAAAUGAAAAGCUUUCUGAAGCGCAGUCAAUGUUGGUUACUGAACUUGCUGCAACACUAAAACAAACUGUUUUUCAGAUGUCUACACUCUACAGGUUUGGGGUUGACUUUAGAAACUUGCGGCACGAAUUUCGGCGUGAUUUUAAUUUUUUUCGAUCGAUAAUAAUGCCCCGUAACAUACAUUAACGGCUUUUCGUGCGGAAACGUGUAAUUACAGAGAAAUGUUAAUUUUAAUUUUUGAGGUUAUGUUCAAAAUUGUUUGAGUUACAUUGACAAAACUACCUACAAGAAUUGUGUUUGAAAGACAAAUGUCAAAAUGUACAUUAAAAACCAUAGUUCCUUCAUAGUUCAUUCAAAAGCAUGUUGCUGAGGGACAACAAUUCAUACGGAUUAUUGGCGAGUAGUA